UGGGGAAUAUUGCACAAUGGGCGCAAGCCUGAUGCAGCCAUGCCGCGUGUGUGAAGAAGGCCUUCGGGUUGUAAAGCACUUUCAGCGAGGAGGAAGGGUAGUGUGUUAAUAGCACAUUGCAUUGACGUUACUCGCAGAAGAAGCACCGGCUAACUCCGUGCCAGCAGCCGCGGUAAUACGGAGGGUGCAAGCGUUAAUCGGAAUUACUGGGCGUAAAGCGCACGCAGGCGGUUUGUUAAGUCAGAUGCGAAAUCCCCGCGCUUAACGUGGGAACUGCAUUUGAAACUGGCAAGCUAGAGUCUUGUAGAGGGGGGUAGAAUUCCAGGUGUAGCGGUGAAAUGCGUAGAGAUCUGGAGGAAUACCGGUGGCGAAGGCGGCCCCCUGGACAAAGACUGACGCUCAGGUGCGAAAGCGUGGGGAGCAAACA
rnacentral:rRNA from 1 species